AGAGUUUGAUCCUGGCUCAGAACGAACGCUGGCGGCAGGCUUAACACAUGCAAGUUGAACGGGAUUUGUAUGGUGCUUGCACCAUGUAAUGAGAGUAGCGCACUGGUGAGUAACACGUGGGAACAUACCUUGAAGUGGGGGACAACAGUUGGAAACGACUGCUAAUACCGCAUAAUCCCUGAGGGGGAAAGAUUUAUCGCUUUAAGAUUGGCCCGCGGAAGAUUAGGUAGUUGGUGGGGUAAAGGCCUACCAAGCCGACGAUCUAUAGCUGGUCUGAGAGGACGAACAGCCACAUUGGAACUGAGACACGGUCCAGACUCCUACGGGAGGCAGCAGUGAGGAAUAUUGGGCAAUGGAGGAAACUCUGACCCAGCCAUGCCGCGUGAGUGAAGAAGGUUUUCGAAUUGUAAAGCUCUUUCGGAUGGGACGAUGAUGACGGUACCAUCUAAAGAAGCCCCGGCAAACUUCGUGCCAGCAGCCGCGGUAAUACGAAGGGGGCAAGCGUUGUUCGGAAUUACUGGGCGUAAAGGGUGUGUAGGCGGAUUUGUAAGAUAGUGGUGAAAUACCUGAGCUCAACUUAGGAAUUGCCAUUAUAACUAUAGAUCUGGAGUGACAGAGAGGAUAUUGGAAUACCCAGUGUAGAGGUGAAAUUCGUAGAUAUUGGGUAGAACACCAGUGGCGAAGGCGAGUAUCUGGCUGUCAACUGACGCUGAGGCACGAAAGCAUGGGGAUCAAACAGGAUUAGAUACCCUGGUAGUCCAUGCUGUAAACGAUGAAUGCUAGUUGUCGGCAAAAGCCGGUGACGCAGUUAACGCGAUAAGCAUUCCGCCUGGGGAGUACGGUCGCAAGAUUA
rnacentral:rRNA from 1 species